rnacentral:rRNA from 1 species
AACGAACGCUGGCGGCAGGCUUAACACAUGCAAGUCGAACGCCUGUAGCAAUGCAGGAGUGGCAGACGGGUGAGUAACACGUGGGAACGUGCCCAAGGGUACGGAACGACUCCGGGAAACUGGAGCUAAUACCGUAUGUGCCCGAAAGGGGAAAGACUUAUCGCCUUUGGAUCGGCCCGCGUCUGAUUAGCUAGUUGGUGGGGUAAUGGCCUACCAAGGCGACGAUCAGUAGCUGGUCUGAGAGGAUGGCCAGCCACACUGGGACUGAGACACGGCCCAGACUCCUACGGGAGGCAGCAGUGGGGAAUAUUGGACAAUGGGCGCAAGCCUGAUCCAGCCAUGCCGCGUGAGUGAUGAAGGCCUUAGGGUUGUAAAGCUCUUUCGCCAGGGACGAUAAUGACGGUACCUGGAUAAGAAGCCCCGGCUAACUUCGUGCCAGCCGCCGCAGUAA